rnacentral:rRNA from 1 species
UACGAAGGGGGCUAGCGUUGUUCAGAAUUACUGGGCGUAAAGCGCACGUAGGCGGACUAUUAAGUCAGGGGUGAAAUCCCGGGGCUCAACCCCGGAACUGCCUUUGAUACUGGUAGUCUCGAGUCCGGAAGAGGUGAGUGGAAUUCCGAGUGUAGAGGUGAAAUUCGUAGAUAUUCGGAGGAACACCAGUGGCGAAGGCGGCUCACUGGUCCGGUACUGACGCUGAGGUGCGAAAGCGUGGGGAGCAAACAGG